CCCAGGUGAAACUACCCAGGGCAAUCAGAGUCUGCAAGCUCUUACUGAGCUCUGGCAAACCUCUUUAUAAACCCAGACUAACGAUCCCCAGUGAAUUCAGGUAUGACAGCAAGGCAAAGGACAAAAAUAAAGCAGCCAAGGCCAUUAAAAGCAAGAAGGGGCCUGAAACAACUGAACAGGACUGAAGACAGUAUGAUCCCUUCCUCUACAUGAUGCAAUCAGCAGCCUGCUAGACAGACUCAGGUCUAGAAUGGAAACAGCAUGAAGUGAAAGGCGGGAGGAGAGGGUGUGUGGAAUAAAAAUAAAGCUAUCUUUCAUAGAUCACAUGGUCCCACCAGGAACUAUGGAAACCUC